rnacentral:rRNA from 1 species
UACAGAGGUCCCAAGCGUUGUUCGGAUUCACUGGGCGUAAAGGGUGCGUAGGUGGUUAGGUAAGUCCGAUGUGAAAUCUCCAGGCUCAACCUGGAAAUGGCAUUGGAUACUAUCUAGCUUGAGGAGUGGAGGGGGGGACUGGAAUUCUCGGUGUAGCAGUGAAAUGCGUAGAUAUCGAGAGGAACACCAGUGGCGAAGGCGAGUCCCUGGACACUUCCUGACACUGAGGCACGAAAGCUAGGGGGAGCAAACAGG